rfam:TPA: Bos taurus chromosome 21, whole genome shotgun sequence.
GUUUCCACUGCUGCAUGGAGGGCACACGCAUCUUCAGUGGGACUUGGAAUUCCUGGAGAAUUGCCUUUGUGACAGGUUGACAUAAUCCCUUUAAAUUCCAUCUCUAAGUUUUCCAUAUUUGCCUAUACCUUGAGAGUCCCUUGGACGGCAAAGAAAUC